rnacentral:tRNA from 1 species
GGGGAUGUGGGGUAACCUGGUAGCCUUCGAGCUUUGGGAGCUUGCGAUCUGAGUUCAAAUCUCAGCAUCCCCA